UUUGGUUAAGUUAGAAAGGGCGCACGGUGGAUGCCUUGACACUAGGAGUCGAUGAAGGACGGGACUAACGCCGAUAUGCUUCGGGGAGCUGUAAGUAAGCUUUGAUCCGAAGAUUUCCGAAUGGGGAAACCCACCAUACGUAAUGGUAUGGUAUCCUUAUCUGAAUACAUAGGGUAAGGAAGACAGACCCAGGGAACUGAAACAUCUAAGUACCUGGAGGAAGAGAAAGCAAAUGCGAUUUCCUGAGUAGCGGCGAGCGAAACGGAACAUAGCCCAAACCAAGAGGCUUGCCUCUUGGGGUUGUAGGACAUUCUAUACGGAGUUACAAAGGAACGAGGUAGACGAAGCGAUCUGGAAAGGUCCGUCGUAGAGGGUAACAACCCCGUAGUCGAAACUUCGUUCUCUCUUGAAUGUAUCCUGAGUACGGCGGAACACGUGAAAUUCCGUCGGAAUCUGGGAGGACCAUCUCCCAAGGCUAAAUACUCCCUAGUGAUCGAUAGUGAACCAGUACCGUGAGGGAAAGGUGAAAAGCACCCCGGAAGGGGAGUGAAAGAGAUCCUGAAACCGUGUGCCUACAAAUAGUCAGAGCCCGUUAACGGGUGAUGGCGUGCCUUUUGUAGAAUGAACCGGCGAGUUACGAUCCCGUGCGAGGUUAAGCUGAAGAGGCGGAGCCGCAGCGAAAGCGAGUCUGAAUAGGGCGUUUAGUACGUGGUCGUAGACCCGAAACCAGGUGAUCUACCCAUGUCCAGGGUGAAGUUCAGGUAACACUGAAUGGAGGCCCGAACCCACGCACGUUGAAAAGUGCGGGGAUGAGGUGUGGGUAGCGGAGAAAUUCCAAUCGAACCUGGAGAUAGCUGGUUCUCCCCGAAAUAGCUUUAGGGCUAGCCUUAAGUGUAAGAGUCUUGGAGGUAGAGCACUGAUUGGACUAGGGGUCCUCAUCGGAUUACCGAAUUCAGUCAAACUCCGAAUGCCAAUGACUUAUCCUUAGGAGUCAGACUGCGAGUGAUAAGAUCCGUAGUCAAAAGGGAAACAGCCCAGACCGCCAGCUAAGGUCCCAAAGUGUGUAUUAAGUGGAAAAGGAUGUGGAGUUGCUUAGACAACUAGGAUGUUGGCUUAGAAGCAGCCACCAUUUAAAGAGUGCGUAAUAGCUCACUAGUCGAGUGACUCUGCGCCGAAAAUGUACCGGGGCUAAAUACACCACCGAAGCUGCGGAUUGAUACCGAAUGGUAUCAGUGGUAGGGGAGCGUUCUAAGGACAGUGAAGUCAGACCGGAAGGACUGGUGGAGUGCUUAGAAGUGAGAAUGCCGGUAUGAGUAGCGAAAGACGGGUGAGAAUCCCGUCCACCGAAUGCCUAAGGUUUCCUGAGGAAGGCUCGUCCGCUCAGGGUUAGUCAGGACCUAAGCCGAGGCCGACAGGCGUAGGCGAUGGACAACAGGUUGAUAUUCCUGUACCACCUCUUUAUCGUUUGAGCAAUGGAGGGACGCAGAAGGAUAGAAGAAGCGUGCGAUUGGUUGUGCACGUCCAAGCAGUUAGGCUGAUAAGUAGGCAAAUCCGCUUAUCGUGAAGGCUGAGCUGUGAUGGGGAAGCUCCUUAUGGAGCGAAGUCUUUGAUUCCCCGCUGCCAAGAAAAGCUUCUAGCGAGAUAAAAGGUGCCUGUACCGCAAACCGACACAGGUAGGCGAGGAGAGAAUCCUAAGGUGUGCGAGAGAACUCUGGUUAAGGAACUCGGCAAAAUGACCCCGUAACUUCGGGAGAAGGGGUGCUUUCUUAACGGAAAGCCGCAGUGAAUAGGCCCAAGCGACUGUUUAGCAAAAACACAGCUCUCUGCGAAGCCGUAAGGCGAAGUAUAGGGGGUGACACCUGCCCGGUGCUGGAAGGUUAAGGAGAGGGGUUAGCGUAAGCGAAGCUCUGAACUGAAGCCCCAGUAAACGGCGGCCGUAACUAUAACGGUCCUAAGGUAGCGAAAUUCCUUGUCGGGUAAGUUCCGACCCGCACGAAAGGUGUAACGAUUUGGGCACUGUCUCAACCAGAGACUCGGUGAAAUUAUAGUACCUGUGAAGAUGCAGGUUACCCGCGACAGGACGGAAAGACCCCGUGGAGCUUUACUGUAGCCUGAUAUUGAAUUUUGGUACAGUUUGUACAGGAUAGGCGGGAGCCAUUGAAACCGGAGCGCUAGCUUCGGUGGAGGCGCUGGUGGGAUACCGCCCUGACUGUAUUGAAAUUCUAACCUACGGGUCUUAUCGACCCGGGAGACAGUGUCAGGUGGGCAGUUUGACUGGGGCGGUCGCCUCCUAAAGUGUAACGGAGGCGCCCAAAGGUUCCCUCAGAAUGGUUGGAAAUCAUUCGUAGAGUGCAAAGGCAUAAGGGAGCUUGACUGCGAGACCUACAAGUCGAGCAGGGACGAAAGUCGGGCUUAGUGAUCCGGUGGUUCCGCAUGGAAGGGCCAUCGCUCAACGGAUAAAAGCUACCCCGGGGAUAACAGGCUUAUCUCCCCCAAGAGUCCACAUCGACGGGGAGGUUUGGCACCUCGAUGUCGGCUCAUCGCAUCCUGGGGCUGUAGUCGGUCCCAAGGGUUGGGCUGUUCGCCCAUUAAAGCGGUACGCGAGCUGGGUUCAGAACGUCGUGAGACAGUUCGGUCCCUAUCCGUCGUGGGCGUAGGAAAUUUGAGAGGAGCUGUCCUUAGUACGAGAGGACCGGGAUGGACGCACCGCUGGUGUACCAGUUGUUCUGCCAAGGGCAUAGCUGGGUAGCUAUGUGCGGAAGGGAUAAGUGCUGAAAGCAUCUAAGCAUGAAGCCCCCCUCAAGAUGAGAUUUCCCAUAGCGUAAGCUAGUAAGAUCCCUGAAAGAUGAUCAGGUUGAUAGGUUCGAGGUGGAAGCAUGGUGACAUGUGGAGCUGACGAAUACUAAUAGAUCGAGGACUUAACCAUAUAA
rnacentral:rRNA from 1 species